CUGGCUCAGAGCGAACGCUAGCGGCGGGCCUAACACAUGCAAGUCGAGCGCGUACCUUCGGGUACGAGCGGCGGACGGGUGAGUAACACGUAGGUCAUCUACCCUUUUGGUGGGGGAUAACCCAGGGAAACUUGGGCUAAUACCGCACGAGGUCUACGGAUCAAAGCCUUCGGGCGCCAGAGGAUGAGCCUGCGUCGCAUUACCUAGUUGGUAGGGUAAUGGCCUACCAAGGGGACGAUGCGUAGCUGGUCUGAGAGGAUGAUCAGCCACACUGGGACUGAGACACGGCCCAGACUCCUACGGGAGGCAGCAGUGGGGAAUAUUGCGCAAUGGGGGAAACCCUGACGCAGCCACGCCGCGUGGGUGAUGAAGGCCUUCGGGUUGUAAGCCUGUCGGAGGGACGAAGUUCAUGACGGUACUACCAAAGAAAGCACCGGCUAACUCCGUGCCAGCACGCCGCGGUAA
rnacentral:rRNA from 1 species